GGCGCACGUUAGCCUCUCUCUCUCUCUCUCUCUCUCUCUCUCUCUCUCCCCCCCAAUAUAACGCUUUGGAAAGAUAACGCCGACCCCCUUCUCUCUCUCUAACUCCCCGCUCCCUCUCUCUCUCUCUCCUCGCUCUUUCUCUCUCUAAAAAGAGAGACAUUUCCAGGUCUCGAAUUUUACGGUUUUCCUUCAGCUGCUUGACAUAAUUACAUUACAAUUACAACAAUUUGAUUUUCUCUCUCUCCUGUGUCUCAUUCCUCAUCUCUCUCUGCGCUCUGAAGCAGUUGGGAAGAAACUUCCUGGAUAGAUCGAUCCCUAUUUCCCAAUCCAACAUUUUUCUUCUCAAUUUCGAUCCUUUUCGUCUAAUUCUCGAGCAUUCUUUCUGCUCUGUUUCUCUCCCAAUUUUCUGUUUGUUUCCCGAGAAAAAAAAAAUACUGUAGCGGGAAUCGUUUCCAAUUACUCUGUUUGGGGAAACCCAAUUGGGAAUUAGGGUUUAUAGGAGAUUUGGGAAUUGGGUUUUUGAUGAAAUCAAAAGGGUUUUGUGGGUGUUGAUGUUGAAGUGAAAAGAUUUACUCUUUUGGGUUUAUGGGAUUCAUCGAUUCGUGGGGCCUCUGAGUUUUGCAUUUUUUGAUACAAUGAUUAUCAAGAAGAAUCUCAAAUCCCAAAUGCCGAGUCUGAAAAGGUGCAAACUCGGCGAGUCACCGGGUGAGGACGACGAUAACUCGGGCAGGAAGAAGAGGAAGACUAAUGGGUAUUAUCCUCUCAGUCUGCUUGGCGAGGUCGCCGCCAGUAUUAUCCCCGUCAGCCUCCACGGCCUGCUCGGCUCGGUCGGGGCCUCCGAGCCGGGGUUCUCUGCUUCGUGGUGCACCAGAGUCUCCUGCUCCCCUGAGGAUGAGUCGAAAUCGAAGAACAGAGAGUCAGCCACCACAGCGAAGACGGAGGUUUCGCGGCCGCCGCUGGUGAGGACGUCGCGGGGCCGAGUUCAGGUACUUCCUUCUCGGUUUAAUGAUUCGGUAAUUGAGAAUUGGAAGAAAGAAAGUAAGACUAGUUUAAGAGAUUAUAAUGUAGAUGAGGAGAUUGAAUGUAAAAAAGAGAAACCUACCUUUAAAGCCCAGAAAUUAGUUAGCCAAAAUACGAAAAAGAUGCGAAAUGUGGAUGGAAUUGGAUAUAACAGUAAGAAGUAUUCGGCUUUGUGUGAAGAAGAUGAAGAGGAGGAAGUUGAGGGGAGUGUGCCAUUUAAGAGUUUCGACAAUAGGAAGUAUUCGAGCUCACCAAGCACACUCUCGUCAAUGCAUGCGCAAUUGGGUGAAGAUGACAAGUGUGCAGUUGUGGAAAUAGAUGAAGGAAAUGGUUUAGUGGAGACAGUGAGGGCUGCAAAGGAGAAUGGUGAGAGGAAAGAUGGCUUGUAUGGACCCGAAGACUUCUAUUCAGGCGAUAUAGUGUGGGCAAUGCCAGGGAAAAAGGAGCCUUUCUGGCCUGCCAUUGUCAUUGAUCCAAUGUCGCAAGCGCCUGAGCUUGUUUUGAGGUCUUGCAUACCCGAUGCAGCUUGUGUGAUGUUCUUUGGAUACUCUGGGAAUGGGAAUCAACGGGAUUAUGCUUGGGUUGAACGUGGGAAGAUUUUUCCCUUUAUGGACUAUGUGGACAGGUUCCAGGAGCAGCCUGAAUUGAACAACUGCGAGCCCUGUGAAUUCCAGUUGGCAAUUGAGGAGGCAUUUUUGGUGGAACAAGGGUUUACAGAAAAGUUGAUAGCGGAUAUAAAUAUGGCAGCAAUGUAUGAUGACUCUGUACGGAGAGGGGUUCAAGAGGCUACCGGUUCAAACCAUGACCUGGACCAGGAUGUAUAUGGGAAGAAGAAAGACAUACGACCCUGUGAAGGCUGCGGCUUGUAUUUUCCUUUUAAAAUGAUAAAGAAAAUGAAGGAUCCAAGUCCCAGAGGCCAAUAUCUUUGUAAAUCGUGUGCUAGGUUAGUAAAAUCGAAACAUUAUUGUGGGAUAUGCAAGAAGAUUUGGAAUGAUUCAGACAGUGGAAGUUGGGUCCGAUGUGAUGGUUGUAAAGUGUGGGUGCAUGCAGAAUGUGACAAAAUUUCCAGCAACGUUUUUAAGAACUUGGGAGCCACUGAUUACUACUGCCCUACGUGCAAAGUCAAGUUUAAUUUUGAAUUAUCAGAUUCUGAAAGGGGGCAACCAAAUGCAAAAUGGAGUAAAAAUAAUGGUCAAUUGGUGCUGCCUAACAAGGUUACUGUUCUCUGCAACUGCGUGGAAGGCAUUUAUUUUCCAAGUCUUCACUCUGUCGUGUGCAAUUGUGGAUUCUGUGGGGCAGAAAAGCAAGCACUUAGUGAAUGGGAGCGACACACAGGUUCCAAAUCGAGAAAUUGGAGGACUAGUGUCAGAGUGAAAGGUUCCUUACUGCCACUGGAACAAUGGAUGUUGCAGUUAGCAGAGUAUCAUGAAAAUGCUCUUGUGUCUUCUAAACCCCCUAAACGGCCUUCUAUUAAAGAACGAAAGCAGAAGUUGCUUACUUUUUUGCAAGAAAAGUAUGAACCUGUUCAUGCCAAGUGGACAACAGAACGAUGCGCUGUAUGUAGAUGGGUUGAAGAUUGGGACUAUAACAAAAUCAUCAUCUGCAAUAGAUGUCAGAUAGCUGUCCAUCAAGAAUGCUAUGGAGCAAGAAAUGUUCGGGAUUUCACUUCGUGGGUCUGCAAAGCAUGUGAAGCACCCAAAGUCAAGCAAGAAUGUUGCCUCUGUCCUGUCAAAGGAGGUGCGUUAAAGCCAACUGAUAUUGACGGAUUGUGGGUUCAUAUUACAUGUGCUUGGUUCAGACCUGAAGUCUCUUUUGCAAGUGAUGAAAAGAUGGAGCCUGCUCUUGGCAUCUUGAGUAUUCCAUCAAAUUCUUUUGUGAAGAUUUGCGUUAUUUGUAAGCAAAUUCAUGGUUCAUGCACGCAAUGUUGCAAGUGUUCCACUUAUUACCAUGCAAUGUGUGCCUCAAGGGCAGGUUAUCGCAUGGAGUUGCAUUGUUUGGAGAAAAAUGGAAAACAGACCACAAAAAUGGUUUCUUAUUGUGCUUACCACAGGGCUCCAAAUCCAGAUACGGUUUUAAUCAUACAGACUCCUCUAGGUGUGUUUUCAGCGAAAAGCCUUCUCCAAAAUAAGAAGAAGCCUGGUUCAAGGUUAAUUUCAUCUAAUAGAACAAAGCUUGAAGAGGUUUUGACAGUUGAAAUGACAGAGCCUGAGUCUGAGCCCGAGCCAUUAUCUGCUGCAAGGUGCCGGGUGUACAAUAGAUUGAAAAAUAACAAGAAGAGAGCAGAAGAAGAAACUGUUGCCCACCAUGUGAAGGGACCUUCCCAUCAUCCCUUGGAAGCAAUUCGAAGUUUGAACACAUUCAGAGUAGUAGAGGAUCCUCCAACUUUUUCGUCUUUUAGAGAACGGCUACACCAUUUACAGAGAACAGAACACGAUCGUGUUUGCUUUGGUAAAUCUGGGAUACAUGGAUGGGGUCUCUUUGCCCGUAGAGACAUACAAGAAGGAGAAAUGGUUCUUGAAUAUCGUGGUGAACAGGUGAGACGUAGUGUUGCAGAUCUUAGGGAGACACGGUAUAGAUCAGAAGGCAAAGACUGUUAUUUGUUUAAGAUCAGUGAAGAAGUGGUUGUAGAUGCCACUGAUAAAGGAAAUAUAGCACGCCUGAUCAACCAUUCGUGCAUGCCGAAUUGCUAUGCGAGGAUCAUGAGUGUGGGUGAUGAAGAAAGCCGGAUUGUACUUAUUGCAAAGGCUGAUGUAACUUGCGGCGAUGAGCUAACGUACGAUUACUUGUUCGAUCCUAACGAGCCUGACGAAUUCAAAGUCCCGUGUCUAUGUAAAGCUCCCAACUGUCGGAAAUUCAUGAAUUAGUAGGAUGAUGGAUAUAUAGGCCCUCACUUGCACAGCCAUUGUUUCUCCGCAAGGAACAACUAACCCUCCAGUCCAUCCAUAUACCAAAUUUGUAAUUUUGCCAAGAGUGUUUGACCAUCAGAACACGGCGUUUCCGGCCAAUCCAAGUACUCAGCCAUGGAGGAUCGCUGGAGACAACUCGGUAGCCUGCGUUCGAGUACAAUUGGCGAGCUCCGUAAUCAUCCUCAUAUGCCCGGAGGGCAAGAUACUCGAAACCCCAUUCGACUGAGAGCGCAUCACACGCUUUUAGCAGGACAGUAGCUAUUUUCUUCCUUCUGAAACUCUUCAAAACAGCAAUGCCGGAUACGUAAAGAUAUUCCGGUGACCUAGAUGGGAGAUGCUGAAGGACGGCCUGGUCCCUCGACGCCGUGACGUCCGCAACUCCCACAAGUUCUUGUGACUCGGAAGUUUCAGGGGUAGACUCAGCAACUAAACAAGCAUAUCUGUUGAAUUAUUAAUGAGAUACCAUAAAAACGCAUAAUUAUUACGCUAAAUAAUACUUGUAACAAUGUACAUUGCAAUUUUCAAGUAAAAUUGUUUACCUAUCUGGGGGUGAAUUCCUAAGUUUAUAUACAAGCCCAGAAAGCACUUCAGCCUGUAUUUGCAGAAACCAAA